UAGAGAAUGAAGUUGAUCUGGGAUGUAUUAUUGUUUAUCUCCCUGUUCUGGAGGCUCAACGGGGAUGUAAUAUACAAGAUAGCUCAUUAAAAGCAAAGAAGGAACCCAGCCAUAACUCAUCAGAAAAUUAUGGAAGACAUAUCAAUCCCUGGCAGUAUUUUGGAUUGUCUCUUAACAUUUUCAAGUUAAAAUGCCAAAAGCGGAAGGAUUUAUAGAAGAAAACAGAAGCUGUCAUAACUCUG
rnacentral:lncRNA from 11 species